GAUCGUCAAGCCCACUGCGAAGCCCUUUCGACGAGUCGAGUUGUUUGGGAAUGCAGCUCCAAGCGGGUGGUAAAUUUCAUCUAAAGCUAAAUACCUGCCAGAGACCGAUAGCGCACAAGUAGAGUGAUCGAAAGAUGAAAAGCACUUUGAAAAGAGAGUCAAACAGCACGUGAAAUUGUUGAAGGGGAAGCGCUUGCAACCAGACUCGCACGCGGGGGCUCAGCCGUCCCUCGGGACGGUGCACUCCCCCGCGAUCGGGCCAGCAUCGGUUUCGGCGGCCGGACAAAGGCCCGGGGAAGGUAGCUCCCUCGCGGGAGUGUUAUAGCCCCGGGUGCAAUGCGGCCCGCCGGGACCGAGGACCGCGCUUUUGCUAGGAUGCUGGCGUAAUGGUUGCCAGCGACCCGUCUUGAAACACGGACCAAGGAGUCGACCGGCGACGCGAGUGUUCGGGCGUCAAACCCGGGCGCGCAAUGAAAGUGAACGGAGGUGGGAGCCCCCGGGCGCACCAUCGACCGAUCCUGAUGUCUUCGGAUGGAUUUGAGUACGAGCGCCGCCGGUCGGACCCGAAAGAUGGUGAGCUAUACGUGGAUAGGGUGAAGCCAGAGGAAACUCUGGUGGAGGCUCGCAGCGGUUCUGACGUGCAAAUCGAUCGUCAAAUCUGCGUAUAGGGGCGAAAGACUAAUCGAACCAUCUAGUAGCUGGUUCCUGUCGAAGUUUCCCUCAGGAUAGCAGCAACGAAAACAGUCUCAUGAGGUAGAGCGAACGAUUAGAGGCCUUGGGGUAGAAACUACCUUAACCUAUUCUCGAACUUCG
rnacentral:rRNA from 1 species